UCCCUGGCAAUCCAGUGGUUAGGACUCUGCAUUUCCACUGCAGGGCCCAGGUUCAAACCCUGGUCAGGGAA
rnacentral:tRNA from 1 species